rnacentral:rRNA from 1 species
UGCCAGCAGCCGCGGUAAUACGAGGGGUGCAAGCGUUAAUCGGAAUUACUGGGCGUAAAGCGUUCGUAGGCGGUCUAUUAAGCAAGUUGUAUGUGAAAGCCCUGGGCUCAACCUAGGAACUGCAUCCAAAACUACUAAGCUAGAGUGCGAGAGAGGAGAGUAGAAUUUCUGGUGUAGCGGUGAAAUGCGUAGAUAUCAGAAGGAAUACCAAUGGCGAAGGCUGCCACCUGGCUUGAUACUGACGCUGAGGUGCGAAAGCGUGGGGAGCGAACAGGAUUAGAUA